UUGGAGGCGGCAUGGAAAUGGAAACUAAUUGAAAGUCACAGUGACAUUGUUUUGACUUUUAAAAAUAUUUAAUGUUCUGGUGGUUCGGGGAUAGGAUUGCUGAUAUAGUCUAUUAUAUACUUAAAAAGCAUGAUGCUGCCUCAGCUCCGUAUCCAAGAAACAUUGUUCUUUAAAGGCAAAAAAUUUCAGUUUAGAGGGACGGUUUUCUAAAGGCAUAGGGAGGCAUGGAGUUGGGUGGUUUAAAAUUCUAAGCUAAGGGGCUUUAUUGAAGUAUGAUUCCCUAUUAUCACAAGCCUGCAGCUUUGCCCCAAACUCCAUAUCAUUCUGUAUUCCUGUCUGCUGCGAUGGAGAAAGAGGCCAGAGUAUGCAACUGUCUCUUCAAAAGUGAGAAAAGGCGAACACACCCAGGCAUCCUCAAAUCUAUUCUUCCUGGCUCAGGGGAAUGAAGUGGAAAACUCAAGAAAAAGAAGAAUCCUGUGUUUGAAAUUAAUUUGAAAUAAAAAUUACUAAAACAAUAUCA